rnacentral:rRNA from 1 species
GAUGUAGGGCGCGAGCGUUGUCCGGAUUUAUUGGGCGUAAAGAGCUCGUAGGCGGCUUGUCGCGUCGAAUGUGAAAACUCGGGGCUCAACUCCGAGCUUGCAUUCGAUACGGGCAGGCUAGAGUUCGGUAGGGGAGACUGGAAUUCCUGGUGUAGCGGUGAAAUGCGCAGAUAUCAGGAGGAACACCGGUGGCGAAGGCGGGUCUCUGGGCCGAUACUGACGCUGAGGAGCGAAAGCGUGGGGAGCGAACAGG